ACAGAGCUGCGGCCGGGGACAGAGCUGCGGCCGGGCCGCCUGCGAGCGCCACAGAGAGCUGGGGUGCCGCAGGGGCAAGGCCUGGAGCAGAGCGGUGGUUGUGUGCGUACGGAAUGGGAAGAAAAAAAAAAUAAAUAUUUAAAAAAUCAGAAUCACCAAGGGAGAAACACUGGGAGGGAACUUCCCCAGCAGAGUGAAAGUCCUCUGCCGCUCCUAAAGACCGGCUGCUGGGAUACCGAACUCUGGGGCCCCAGUAUGGAAAGAGCCUCUUACCUCCAAUACCACUGAGUCUCUGAUGUGCUCGUAUCUGACCCAAGAUAACUGUAAGCAGGAUGUGAACUCUGCUUCUGUCUCUGAUGACCCCUGAUGUCCCCCCGGAUCAUGAGGAUAUCUACACAGGAAAUUCUCUUUCUCACUUGAACUGUUCUGCUUGGUAUGGAAUCAACUGGGCCUGAGAUGACACCAAAGUAUCCAUCUUCAUACUAAUCUGGGUUAUGUACUUUAAUUACUAAUACUUAUUGUCACUCUUGUAUUAAGUCCUUAAAAGUGACUGCAUAUGUAUGUAUUUUAAUGGUCUCUCUGGUUGCCUGGGAUAUGUUUUACUUAUGUUAAAUCAGGUGAGAGAUUACAACACACCCUGGCACUGAAACUGUAUUUCUAAGGCCACUGAAAACAGGACCUCUGUGUUGGAAUAGUGUGUUUAAACAAAACACAGGGAACUGGAGAGAGCCCAACAAACCAGUUUAGGAAAAGUCUUAUAGAAUUCUGUCAGGUCAUGUGGAAUAUUAGAGAAGUAUCUGGGAGCACCCAUUGUUUUGUGCAAAUUUACAGUGUGAAGUUGUGAUACUUAUGCUCAAAAAAAAAAACCCCAAAACUUA